rnacentral:rRNA from 1 species
AUGGAGAAGUACGAGAAGCUGGAGAAGGUCGGGGAGGGCACCUACGGCAAGGUGUACAAGGCGCAGGACAAGGCGACGUGCCAGGUGGUGGCGCUCAAGAAGACCCGCCUGGAGAUGGAUGAGACGACAAAGGGAUCCCGACCACCGCGCUCCGUGAGAUCUCCCUCCUCCGCCUCCUCUCCAGCUCCCUCUACAUCGUCCGCCUCCUCGCCGCCGAGCAGGCCACCAAGGGCGGCGGCGCUGGCGAUGGAGGGAAGCCCGUCCUCUACCUCGUCUUCGAGUUCCUUGACACUGACCUCAAGAAGUUUGUCGACGCCUACUACCGUGGGCCUGCCCCUAAGCCGCUCCCAACUCAGGUCGUCAAGAGUUUUUUGUAUCAGUUAUGCAAAGGAAUUGCACACUGCGAUGGCCAUGGUGUCCUUCAUCGGGAUUUAA